rnacentral:rRNA from 1 species
UACGAAGGGGACUAGCGUUGUUCGGAUUUACUGGGCGUAAAGCGCGCGUAGGCGGAUUUGUAAGUCAGGGGUGAAAUCCCGGGGCUCAACCUCGGAACUGCCUUUGAUACUGCAAAUCUCGAGUCCGGAAGAGGUGAGUGGAAUUCCUAGUGUAGAGGUGAAAUUCGUUAGAUAUUAGGAAGAACACCAGUGGCGAAGGCGGCUCACUGGUCCGGUACUGACGCUGAGGUGCGAAAGCGUGGGGAGCAAACAGGG